AUUGAACGCUGGCGGCAGGCCUAACACAUGCAAGUCGAGCGGAUGAAGGGAGCUUGCUCCUGGAUUCAGCGGCGGACGGGUGAGUAAUGCCUAGGAAUCUGCCUGGUAGUGGGGGAUAACGUCCGGAAACGGGCGCUAAUACCGCAUACGUCCUGAGGGAGAAAGUGGGGGAUCUUCGGACCUCACGCUAUCAGAUGAGCCUAGGUCGGAUUAGCUAGUUGGUGGGGUAAAGGCCUACCAAGGCGACGAUCCGUAACUGGUCUGAGAGCAUGAUCAGUCACACUGGAACUGAGACACGGUCCAGACUCCUACGGGAGGCAGCAGUGGGGAAUAUUGGACAAUGGGCGAAAGCCUGAUCCAGCCAUGCCGCGUGUGUGAAGAAGGUCUUCGGAUUGUAAAGCACUUUAAGUUGGGAGGAAGGGCAGUAAGUUAAUACCUUGCUGUUUUGACGUUACCAACAGAAUAAGCACCGGCUAACUUCGUG
rnacentral:rRNA from 1 species